UUCCGCAAUCGCCACCCCUGUCCACCUGUUUCAGCUAUUCCACUGCUCUCCUCAAACCCCCUUCCUCAAAAUCUGCAAUUUUCCUCUGCUCUUCCUUCAUAUAACUAUUUAGCUAAUGAUACUCUGACCUACUGCAUGUGUAAUAUUACUCCCCCUCCCACCUGUUCCAACCCUGCACUGCCUUGUGUCCACAGUGUGCAGGUUAUUAAUCAACUGCUACGUGUUCACAGUGUGCAAGUUAUUAAUCAACUGCUACGUGUUCACAGUGUGCAAGUUAUUAAUCAACUGCUACGUGUUCACAGUGUGCAAGUUAUUAAUCAACUGCUAUGUGUUCACAGUGUGCAGGUUAUUAAUCAACUGCUACGUGUUCACAGUGUGCAGGUUAUUAAUCAACUGCUACGUGUUCACAGUGUGCAGGUUAUUAAUCAACUGCUACGUGUUCA
ensembl:lncRNA